rnacentral:rRNA from 1 species
CAGCAGCCGCGGUAAUACGAAGGGUGCAAGCGUUAAUCGGAAUUACUGGGCGUAAAGCGUGCGUAGGCGGUUUGUUAAGUCCGCUGUGAAAUCCCCGGGCUCAACCUGGGAAUGGCAGUGGAUACUGGCAAGCUAGAGUGUGUCAGAGGAUGGUGGAAUUCCCGGUGUAGCGGUGAAAUGCGUAGAGAUCGGAAGGAACAUCAGUGGCGAAGGCGGCCAUCUGGGACAACACUGACGCUGAGGCACGAAAGCGUGGGGAGCAAACAGGAUUAGAUACCCGUGUAGUCCCUGUCUCUUAUAC